UCUUGCCUUUUCUUCUGUUUAUUGUCACCUUCUGUCUACAAUAUAAUUUUUUGGGAAGAGAAAAGCCUUGGUGACCUGAGAUCCCCUGAAGUUACGUACACCACCGGUCCUGCUGGCCCAUUUUCCUGAUUCUGGGUUUCAUCCUCUAUGAAAAGCCCAGGGCCACCAGACAGAAUGGAGUCUAUUUAACAUGCAUGAAGCUAAUCUUCAACUCAGACUCAUUAAUGAAAGGACAGCAUGUGAAUAUUGCAAUGAGGAGCAAUUGUCUUGCUGAGUUAGUGAACAGAAAUACAAAAUGAGAAGAAAACACUGAAAUGGAAA